rnacentral:rRNA from 1 species
UACGGAGGUGGCAGGCGUUACUCGGAUUGAUUGGGUGUAAAGGGUUUGUAGGCGGUGCGCUAAGUCGAAUGUGAAAUCCCUUGGCUUAACCAAGGAACUGCAUUCGAAACUGGCGUGCUUGAGUGAUGGAGAGGAAAGCGGAAUUCCCGGUGUAACAGUGAAAUGCGUAGAUAUCGGGAGGAACACCAGUGGCGAAGGCGGCCACCUGGACGGUUACUGACGCUCAGACCCGAAAGCGUGGGUAGCAAACAGG